rnacentral:pre_miRNA from 1 species
GAAUAGAAACCUUAAGGUGGGUUUGGAUGGGCGAUUGGGUGCGGUGCGGUGCGUUUAGUUUACUUUUUGUCUCACGCUACAGUAUCGCUACAGUAUCUAAUCUCACCGCCACCGCUGUUUUUACACUAACCCCAAGUAAACGUAUCGCCCAUCCAAGCUCACCCUAAGUCAGAAGUUA